UGCCAGCCGCCGCGGUAAUACGGAGGGUGCAAGCGUUAUCCGGAUUUAUUAGGUUUAAAGGGUCCGUAGGCGGGCAAUUAAGUCAGGGGUGAAAGUUUGCGGCUCAACCGUAAAAUUGCCUUUGAUACUGGUUGUCUUGAAUUAGUGUGAAGUGGUUAGAAUGAGUAGUGUAGCGGUGAAAUGCAUAGAUAUUACUCAGAAUACCAAUUGCGAAGGCAGAUCACUAACAACGUAUUGACGCUGAGGGACGAAAGCGUGGGGAGCGAACAGGAUUAGAUA
rnacentral:rRNA from 1 species